rnacentral:rRNA from 1 species
AUACGGAGGAUCCGAGCGUUAUCCGGAUUUAUUGGGUUUAAAGGGUGCGCAGGCGGCCAUUUAAGUCAGCGGUUAAAUCGUGGGGCUCAACCCCAUUCUGCCGUUGAUACUGGGUGGCUUGAUUGCGGUCGAGGUUGGCGGAAUUCGUUGUGUAGCGGUGAAAUGCAUAGAUAUGACGAAGAACACCGAAUGCGUAGGCAGCGGACCAGAUCGCAAAUGACGCUCAUGCACGAAAGUGCGGGGAUCGAACAGGAUUAGAUACCCUGGUAGUCCGCACAGUAAACGAUGAAUGCUUGUUUUCGGCGAUAUAAUGUCGGAGGCAAAGCGAAAGCGAUAAGUAUUCCACCUGGGGAGUACGCCGGCAACGGUGAAACUCAAAGGAAUUGACGGGG